rnacentral:lncRNA from 1 species
UUUAUUAUAGAGUAUCUGUCUCUUGGCUUCCUGAGAAUCUGUCGUGAUUAAAUAGUGAAUGAAAGAAACUGAAUAAUUAUCUUAUCAAAUUUAAAGAAAGAGGCUAUAUAUAAGAAAACAGUACAUAUUCUAUAUGAGAAAGGCAGGGCUUGCUCUUGCUCAAGGCCUGUUUCUAGGCCAUGAGACAUCUUUCUAUAAAUUAGAAAAAUGGUUCUUUUUAUGGAUGGAUCCAGCUCUGCAACUAGAAAUCUUAAUGAAUAGAUAGCGCUUUAUGUGCAGGAAAAUGGUACUGGAUGCAUGACUUGAAGUACAGCACACAAGCUUCAUUCCAUCUCCUUUACUCCCCUUGGUCAGGAACCGGAAUUUUCUGUACCAUUGUGCCCAGAAUUGGUUCCUUCCGGUGGGUUCUUUGUCUCGCUGACUUCAAGAAUGAAGCUGUGGAUCCUCGUGAGAACAGAGAAAAACUGUUUUCUGAAAAGCAAUUCUGCAAAAACAUUGACAUUAACAAAAAACACACCUGCUUGGAAAAGAGGAUAACAUGUUGGACAAUGGUUAAAUUAUAUUUACUUUGAUAUGUCUCUGGAGGUUAAAUCAAUACCUGUAUGAAGCUUGAAGUUCACAUUUAUUAUGGAGGGCACUUGUAAAAGUGUAUCUGAAGCCUGUAAGAGCCAGAAGGACUCAGUCAUAUGCUGCCUUCUGUGCCUGAUGUUUUCUUUUGAACUAGGGAGAGACGUGAACAUACAGUCUGUUAUUGUAGUUUAUGCACAAAGACUCAAAUAAGAAAGAUGUGGGUGUAUGUAUAAGAAAAGGUUUAGAAAACUUGGCAUAUUUUCUAUGAAUGUUAAGAACUUGUAUUACUGUAAUUCUGUAAGUCUAAAUGCAAUCGAAGGACACAAACAUCUCUAUGUAUAAUGAGAUUAACUGAAACAUAAUUGAACAAAACUGGAAAUAAAGAAAAAUCUAUCAAAUA